CUUAUAAGGUGUUUCUUCGAGUUUUACGUCCAUUGGCGUAAUAGUACGAAUAUAUUCGAGAUAUAUUGUAUAUUGAUGGAAAUUAUUUAGAAACAUAUCAUAUUGUAUGAAUAUAUAUGAACCUUGUUACGUUUGCCACUGAGCACUACAUCUAUAUAUUAUGAUUUCGUUUGUACGACGCAGCUGUCAAUUCUGUUUGUUUUUUUUUUUCAUGCUUUGUCUACACGUAGUUUUGAAGAUUAAGAAGAAAUUUUGGGCAGCACGACCGUCAGUUGCCGUCAGUCGUUGCAAGUAGGAAGAUGAGGAUGAUUGACGAAAGAGACGAUUACUAAACUGCUACGCAACCAAUAAUUUAUUUAUUGGUGAGAAAUAUCUGGAAGGUUAUACUAUUUUCUCACUAGUACUUUACUCAAAUUAAAAGAUCAAAUACUUUCUCACUAGUUACUAUUAUUCACGUAGUACGUGAGUACAAUUUAUCUCGUUGCCGAUGUCGAAGCUUCGUCGUUUUCUUAAAAACAGAAAAAUUUAUUUUCGUGCGAGAACGCGUAAAGAUGACGCUCAUACAAAAGUUAAAAUGAAGGUGACUUCUCUUAAAAUAACACGAUAUCUGCUUGCUAUACAUUGUUAUGUCGCAUCGGAAAUAAAUGCAAUUCUCUUGUCUUGUCUUGCCUACAAAGUCUGUAUAUAAUGAAACAGUACAUGCAGUCUGAGCUGUGAUCUCUUCAUAUCAAAAGAUUUUAUAUAAAAGGCAAAGUCAAGGAGGAUGUCAAAUUUUGAGGGGUAUUGUCAGAGAGAUCCAUUCAACUUUAUAAAUUCAAAUUAAAUUAUAUUUGAUAUUCAAUGUUAAAUUUAAAAUAGUAACAUCAUAUAUAGAUAACCACAUCAAAUAUUUAUAUGAAAGUGUAUAUUCUAUAUGCACUUCUAUUCAAAGAUAACAAUUUUCGAUACAUCUAUAUCGACAGAGUUUGACAUCUAUUGCUCUAUCUGCAAUUUUAUAAAAGAUUUCAUCAAGUUUUGCAUAUCAUUGAUAAAGUAUUCAGUGUCUUACAAAAAAAAUCAAGUAUUCUUAUCGAUUUAAAAAAAUCUACAGUUUAGUAUAAUACUCAAAAUAUAUGUACAUCAUGACAACGUUCAUGCACAGUCCUUUGUCUUCCACUUAGCAUAUUUUGUCUGUGAAGUCUUCAUGAUAUCAUCAUUACUUUCUCAAAUGAAUCUAUUACGAUUUGAACCAAUUUCGUCUUCAUCAUAUUUCGAUAUCAAUGUAUUACAUGUGAGAUUUACUACGGAUCAAUUAACUUCUUUCUUUAUUGACCUACGACAUGGAGGAGUGUUUAGGAGCUACUAGAACAUCUUAAGUAAUACAGAAGAGUAGUGUGCAUUUGUGAUUCCAUGAUACGGGUGAACUGCAUCAGGGAGUACUCCUUGUGUAAUGAUGUUGGCCUGUAUGCCUCAAAGAGGACUUUGCUGGAAUGAUUGCGGAGGAUUUUAAUGAUUAAUAAGAAUUUUACAUUACUCUAGUCCUUUCUUCUCGAGAUAGAAUAUUUUU